UACGGGCCGCNNCAGGCGCGAAAACUUUACAAUGCAGGAAACUGUGAUAAGGGAACCCCGAGUGCCCGUAUACGCGGGCUGUUCAGGUGUUUAAAAAGCANCUGGAGAAAGGGCCGGGCAAGACCGGUGCCAGCCGCCGCGGUAAUACCGGCGGCUCGAGUGGUGACCACUUUUAUUGGGCUUAAAGCGUCCGUAGCUGGAUUGUUAAGUCUCUUGGGAAAUCCGCCGGCUUAACCGGCGGGCGUCUAAGAGAUACUGGCAACCUAGGGACCGGGAGAGGUGAGAGGUACUCCGGGGGUAGAAGUGAAAUUCUGUAAUCCUCGGGGGACCACCUGUGGCGAAGGCGUCUCACCAGAACGGCNACGGCCCU
rnacentral:rRNA from 1 species